AUUAAACGCUGGCGGCAGGCCUAACACAUGCAAGUCGAGCGGAUGAAGGGAGCUUGCUCCUGGAUUCAGCGGCGGACGGGUGAGUAAUGCCUAGGAAUCUGCCUGGUAGUGGGGGAUAACGUCCGGAAACGGGCGCUAAUACCGCAUACGUCCUGAGGGUGAAAGUGGGGGAUCUUCGGACCUCACGCUAUUAGAUGAGCCUAGGUCGGAUUAGCUAGUUGGUGGGGUAAAGGCCUACCAAGGCGACGAUCCGUAACUGGUCUGAGAGGAUGAUCAGUCACACUGGAACUGAGACACGGUCCAGACUCCUACGGGAGGCAGCAGUGGGGAAUAUUGGACAAUGGGCGAAAGCCUGAUCCAGCAAUGCCGCGUGUGUGAAGAAGGUCUUCGGAUUGUAAAGCACUUUAAGUUGGGAGGAAGGGAAGUAAGUUAAUACCUGGCUGUUUUGACGUUACCAAAAGAAUAAGCACCGGCUAACUUCGUG
rnacentral:rRNA from 1 species